GCUAACAUAAAUGAGACCUCAUUUUGUCAGUUAUAAUUUAUUCUGAUCUGUAGAAUUUGCAUGAGCAAGGGGUUAGGAAUAUUUGUGGAUCCACAAACAUAGGUCCACUUGGAUUGUGUCGAAAUAAUAUGGACCGAUGCGUCAAGAAUGUGUUAUUUCACACAACCAUGCUGUCGUUGAAAGUUGAAACUUGAAACCAUUAAUCAAUAGCUCAGUGCUCUCUCUACUAGUCUCUAAGAAAU
rnacentral:lncRNA from 1 species